ACAUGGCUGGCUCAGUCAGUAGAGCAUGUGACUUUUGAUCUCAAGAUUGUAGGUUUGAGCCCCACAUUGGGUA
rnacentral:tRNA from 1 species